rnacentral:rRNA from 1 species
CCUACGGGAGGCAGCAGUGGGGAAUAUUGCACAAUGGGCGAAAGCCUGAUGCAGCGACGCCGCGUGAGGGAUGACGGCCUUCGGGUUGUAAACCUCUUUCAGCAGGGAAGAAGCGAAAGUGACGGUACCUGCAGAAGAAGCGCCGGCUAACUACGUGCCAGCAGCCGCGGUAAUACGUAGGGCGCAAGCGUUGUCCGGAAUUAUUGGGCGUAAAGAGCUCGUAGGCGGCUUGUCACGUCGGAUGUGAAAGCCCGGGGCUUAACCCCGGGUCUGCAUUCGAUACGGGCUAGCUAGAGUGUGGUAGGGGAGAUCGGAAUUCCUGGUGUAGCGGUGAAAUGCGCAGAUAUCAGGAGGAACACCGGUGGCGAAGGCGGAUCUCUGGGCCAUUACUGACGCUGAGGAGCGAAAGCGUGGGGAGCGAACAGGAUUAGAUACCCUGGUAGUCCACGCCGUAAACGUUGGGAACUAGGUGUUGGCGACAUUCCACGUCGUCGGUGCCGCAGCUAACGCAUUAAGUUCCCCGCCUGGGGAGUACGGCCGCAAGGCUAAAACUCAAAGGAAUUGACGG